rnacentral:tRNA from 1 species
UAAAGAGUGGCUGAGUUUAAGGUGUUAGAUUGUAAAUCUAUUUACGAAGUAUUUCUUCCUCUUUAA